rnacentral:rRNA from 1 species
GUCACUCCUACGGGAGGCAGCAGUCGAGAAUUUUUCACAAUGGGCGAAAGCCUGAUGGAGCGACGCCGCGUGGGGGAUGAAUGGCUUCGGCCCGUAAACCCCUGUCAUUUGCGAACAAGUUGUUUCACUUAACACGUGAAGCAUUGAUAGUAGCGAAAGAGGAAGGGACGGCUAACUCUGUGCCAGCAGCCGCGGUAAUACAGAGGUCCCAAGCGUUGUUCGGAUUCACUGGGCGUAAAGGGUGCGUAGGCGGUCGGGUAAGUCUGACGUGAAAUCUCCAAGCUCAACUUGGAAAUGGCGUCGGAUACUAUUCGGCUUGAGGAAUGGAGGGGAGACUGGAAUUCUCGGUGUAGCAGUGAAAUGCGUAGAUAUCGAGAGGAACACCAGUGGCGAAGGCGAGUCUCUGGACAUUUCCUGACGCUGAGGCACGAAAGCCAGGGGAGCAAACGGGAUUAGAUACCCCGGUAGUCCUGGCCCUAAACGGUGCACGUUUGCUGUAAGAGGAAUCGACCCCUUUUGUGGCGAAGCUAACGCGUUAAACGUGCCGCCUGGGAAGUACGGCCGCAAGGUUAAAACUCAAAGGAAUUGACG